rnacentral:rRNA from 1 species
GACGAACGCUGUCGGCGUGCUUAACACAUGCAAGUCGAACGGAAAGGCCCUGCUUUUGUGGGGUGCUCGAGUGGCGAGCGGGUGAGUAACACGUGAGUAACCUGCCCUUGACUUUGGGAUAACUUCAGGAAACUGGGGCUAAUACCGGAUAGGAGCUCCUGCUGCAUGGUGGGGGUUGGAAAGUUUCGGCGGUUGGGGAUGGACUCGCGGCUUAUCAGCUUGUUGGUGGGGUAGUGGCUUACCAAGGCUUUGACGGGUAGCCGGCCUGAGAGGGUGACCGGCCACAUUGGGACUGAGAUACGGCCCAGACUCCUACGGGAGGCAGCAGUGGGGAAUAUUGCACAAUGGGCGGAAGCCUGAUGCAGCAACGCCGCGUGCGGGAUGACGGCCUUCGGGUUGUAAACCGCUUUCGCCUGUGACGAAGCGUGAGUGACGGUAAUGGGUAAAGAAGCACCGGCUAACUACGUGCCAGCAGCCGCGGUGAUACGUAGGGUGCGAGCGUUGUCCGGAUUUAUUGGGCGUAAAGGGCUCGUAGGUGGUUGAUCGCGUCGGAAGUGUAAUCUUGGGGCUUAACCCUGAGCGUGCUUUCGAUACGGGUUGACUUGAGGAAGGUAGGGGAGAAUGGAAUUCCUGGUGGAGCGGUGGAAUGCGCAGAUAUCAGGAGGAACACCAGUGGCGAAGGCGGUUCUCUGGGCCUUUCCUGACGCUGAGGAGCGAAAGCGUGGGGAGCGAACAGGCUUAGAUACCCUGGUAGUCCACGCUGUAAACGGUGGGUACUAGGUGUGGGGUCCAUUCCACGGGUUCCGUGCCGUAGCUAACGCUUUAAGUACCCCGCCUGGGGAGUACGGCCGCAAGGCUAAAACUCAAAGGAAUUGACGGGGCCCCGCACAAGCGGCGGAGCAUGCGGAUUAAUUCGAUGCAACGCGUAGAACCUUACCUGGGUUUGACAUGGAUCGGGAGUGCUCAGAGAUGGGUGUGCCUCUUUUGGGGUCGGUUCACAGGUGGUGCAUGCCUGUCGUCAGCUCGUGUCGUGAGAUGUUGGGUUAAGUCCCGCAACGAGCGCAACCCUUGUUCACUGUUGCCAGCACGUUAUGGUGGGGACUCAGUGGAGACCGCCGGGGUCAACUCGGAGGAAGGUGGGGAUGACGUCAAGUCAUCAUGCCCCUUAUGUCCAGGGCUUCACGCAUGCUACAAUGGCUGGUACAGAGAGUGGCGAGCCUGUGAGGGUGAGCGAAUCUCGGAAAGCCGGUCUCAGUUCGGAUUGGGGUCUGCAACUCGACCUCAUGAAGUCGGAGUCGCUAGUAAUCGCAGAUCAGCAACGCUGCGGUGAAUACGUUCCCGGGGCU